AGGCUUUGAAGUGUGGACGCCAGUCUGCAUGGAGCCGACCUUGAAAUACCACCCUUUAAUGUUUGAUGUUCUAACGUGGACCCGUAAUCCGGGUUGCGGACAGUGUCUGGUGGGUAGUUUGACUGGGGCGGUCUCCUCCUAAAGAGUAACGGAGGAGCACGAAGGUUGGCUAAUCCUGGUCGGACAUCAGGAGGUUAGUGCAAUGGCAUAAGCCAGCUUGACUGCGAGCGUGACGGCGCGAGCAGGUGCGAAAGCAGGUCAUAGUGAUCCGGUGGUUCUGAAUGGAAGGGCCAUCGCUCAACGGAUAAAAGGUACUCCGGGGAUAACAGGCUGAUACCGCCCAAGAGUUCAUAUCGACGGCGGUGUUUGGCACCUCGAUGUCGGCUCAUCACAUCCUGGGGCUGAAGUAGGUCCCAAGGGUAUGGCUGUUCGCCAUUUAAAGUGGUACGCGAGCUGGGUUUAGAACGUCGUGAGACAGUUCGGUCCCUAUCUGCCGUGGGCGCUGGAGAACUGAGGGGGGCUGCUCCUAGUACGAGAGGACCGGAGUGGACGCAUCACUGGUGUUCGGGUUGUCAUGCCAAUGGCACUGCCCGGUAGCUAAAUGCGGAAGAGAUAAGUGCUGAAAGCAUCUAAGCACGAAACUUGCCCCGA
rnacentral:rRNA from 2 species